rnacentral:rRNA from 2 species
CCGUAACUUGCUAUGUGGCGUCGAGCGGCGGACGGGUGAGUAAUGCAUAGGUAUCUGCCCGGUAGUGGGGGAUAACCUGAGGAAACUCAGGCUAAUACCGCAUACGUCCUACGGGAGAAAGCAGGGGCUCUUCUGACCUUGCGCUAUCGGAUGAGCUUAUGUCGGAUUAUCUAGUUGGUAAGGUAAUGGCUUACCAAGGCGACAAUCCGUAGCUGGUCUGAGAGGAUGAUCAGCCACAUCGGGACUGANACACGGCCCGAACUCCUACGGGAGGCAGCAGUGGGGAAUAUUGGACAAUGGGGGCAACCCUGAUCCAGCCAUGCCGCGUGUGUGAAGAAGGCCCUCGGGUUGUAAAGCACUUUCAGUGAGGAAGAACGCUUGUGGGUUAAUACCCUGCAGGAGAGACAUCACUCACAGAAGAAGCACCGGCUAACUCCGUGCCAGCAGCCGCGGUAAUACGGAGGGUGCAAGCGUUAAUCGGAAUUACUGGGCGUAAAGCGUGCGUANGCGGCUUGGUAAGCCGGUUGUG